AGUGCUAGCCCCCGCGCGGGUGCCCGCGUCCCGGCCCGGAAGAGAGGCGGGACGACGGCGCGUCCUCUCCCCGCAAGAUUACCUCGCAGCGCGUAGCCGGCUUUGUGUUUCCCCUCCCUCCUUCUCGGCAGCCGCCCGGGCUGCAGCAGCCGCCGGAUCCGCCGCUGCGGCCGCCUCUUAAGCGCCGCAGAGCCCCAGAGGGUGUGGAUUCUGCAAUGCUGCACAGAAACCUACUGCAGCCUCAGACCAACAGCAGCAGCAGCAGCGGCGGCGGCGGCAGCAGCAGCAGCAGCAUUAGCAGCAGCAGCUUCUCUCAAUGCUGAGUAUUGAAUACAGAUAAUCAUGAGGCCCAAGACCCUAAGGAACAGUGCAGCCAGGAGUCGGAAGGAGCCUGGGUUUCUGAAUCAUCACAUGGAGGGGAGCUGUCUUCAGCUGGGAGAGCUGUCUUCAGUUGGAUACUGGGAGGAAGAAAGGGAGCUGGUUAGGAAGCAAACUUGAGUUUCCCAUGCUCUGUGGCUGAGCAAGUCACUUCACCAUUCUCAGGAUGGAAGUGGGGAUGGAGGUGGCAUCGGCCUCAUUUGAACCACAUGGACUAAGAGGGGCUAUGGGAGUAUUCCCCAAAGGAAGACUGAGGGGCGUUACUAGAAAAUGGGAGAAUGGAAGCAGAGUGGGCAAAACCAACAGAUGUUCCCUAUAGUAAAUAAAAAAUUUGGACAAUUAUUAGUGAGCAAGUACUUAUAACAUAUAUGGCACAUGGGAUUGUGACUCACCAGUGUGUUAGCACAAUAUGGUCAAAAACCUCUGAUCCAAUUCAACCUACUCAUCUUAACGAUUUUAUCAGCAUUUAAUAAGUUUGUUUUGGCCAUCAUGUGUUAUAGUUUUGUUUGUGGUUUUGACACCUCAUUAGAGGUUUCAUCAGUGUAAGGAGCCAACCUAAGAGCUCUUCUCACAAGUUUCCCAAGAGAGAAAUUGCCCCUCCAAAUGUGAGGAGUCUCACUUUAUAUAGAUAGCAUCCACACUUCUUGCAGUGGAAAACAAACCUUAUAAAAUGUAAUACGUUUGGUUUCCUAACUUUUUCAUGACCCUGGGGUGGUAGAAGGAAGUGCAAGUUUUAUCACUUGGAUUUAGAGACAAGGAAAUUGAAAUGGAGAGAGAAUUGGGCUCACAUGCAGGCAGCAUGUCUAGCUGCCUCCAUCGUGUGAUCUGAGGCACCCCAUGAGGCCUAUGAUUACUGUAAACCUCUAAAAUAAAUAAAAAAUAAAACAAUCUCUGCCACUGAA
rnacentral:lncRNA from 10 species